GGGUUGUGAGGUUAAGCGACUAAGCGUACACGGUGGAUGCCCUGGCAGUCAGAGGCGAUGAAGGACGUGCUAAUCUGCGAAAAGCGUCGGUAAGGUGAUAUGAACCGUUAUAACCGGCGAUGUCCGAAUGGGGAAACCCAGUGCAAUUCGUUGCACUAUCGUUAACUGAAUACAUAGGUUAACGAGGCGAACCGGGGGAACUGAAACAUCUAAGUACCCCGAGGAAAAGAAAUCAACCGAGAUUCCCCCAGUAGCGGCGAGCGAACGGGGAGCAGCCCAGAGUCUGAAUCAGCUUGUGUGUUAGUGGAACGGUCUGGAAAGUCCGACGGUACAGGGUGAUAGUCCCGUACACCAAAAUGCACAGGCUGUGAACUCGAAGAGUAGGGCGGGACACGUGGUAUCCUGUCUGAAUAUGGGGGGACCAUCCUCCAAGGCUAAAUACUCCUGACUGACCGAUAGUGAACCAGUACCGUGAGGGAAAGGCGAAAAGAACCCCGGCGAGGGGAGUGAAAAAGAACCUGAAACCGUGUACGUACAAGCAGUGGGAGCACCUUCGGGUGUGACUGCGUACCUUUUGUAUAAUGGGUCAGCGACUUAUAUUCUGUAGCAAGGUUAACCGUAUAGGGGAGCCGCAGGGAAACCGAGUCUUAACUGGGCGUUAAGUUGCAGGGUAUAGACCCGAAACCCGGUGAUCUAGCCAUGGGCAGGUUGAAGGUUGGGUAACACUAACUGGAGGACCGAACCGACUAAUGUUGAAAAAUUAGCGGAUGACUUGUGGCUGGGGGUGAAAGGCCAAUCAAACCGGGAGAUAGCUGGUUCUCCCCGAAAGCUAUUUAGGUAGCGCCUCGUGAAUUCAUCUUCGGGGGUAGAGCACUGUUUCGGCUAGGGGGUCAUCCCGACUUACCAACCCGAUGCAAACUACGAAUACCGAAGAAUGUUAUCACGGGAGACACACGGCGGGUGCUAACGUCCGUCGUGAAGAGGGAAACAACCCAGACCGCCAGCUAAGGUCCCAAAGUCAUGGUUAAGUGGGAAACGAUGUGGGAAGGCACAGACAGCCAGGAUGUUGGCUUAGAAGCAGCCAUCAUUUAAAGAAAGCGUAAUAGCUCACUGGUCGAGUCGGCCUGCGCGGAAGAUGUAACGGGGCUAAACCAUGCACCGAAGCUGCGGCAGCGACACUAUGUGUUGUUGGGUAGGGGAGCGUUCUGUAAGCCUGCGAAGGUGACCUGUGAGGGUUGCUGGAGGUAUCAGAAGUGCGAAUGCUGACAUAAGUAACGAUAAAGCGGGUGAAAAGCCCGCUCGCCGGAAGACCAAGGGUUCCUGUCCAACGUUAAUCGGGGCAGGGUGAGUCGACCCCUAAGGCGAGGCCGAAAGGCGUAGUCGAUGGGAAACAGGUUAAUAUUCCUGUACUUGGUGUUACUGCGAAGGGGGGACGGAGAAGGCUAUGUUAGCCGGGCGACGGUUGUCCCGGUUUAAGCAUGUAGGCUGAUUGUCCAGGCAAAUCCGGAUAAUCAAGGCUGAGGUGUGAUGACGAGGCACUACGGUGCUGAAGUAACAAAUGCCCUGCUUCCAGGAAAAGCCUCUAAGCAUCAGGUAACAUUAAAUCGUACCCCAAACCGACACAGGUGGUCAGGUAGAGAAUACCAAGGCGCUUGAGAGAACUCGGGUGAAGGAACUAGGCAAAAUGGUGCCGUAACUUCGGGAGAAGGCACGCUGGUGUGUAGGUGAAGUCCCUGCGGAUGGAGCUGAGACCAGUCGAAGAUACCAGCUGGCUGCAACUGUUUAUUAAAAACACAGCACUGUGCAAACACGAAAGUGGACGUAUACGGUGUGACGCCUGCCCGGUGCCGGAAGGUUAAUUGAUGGGGUUAUCCGUAAGGAGAAGCUCUUGAUCGAAGCCCCGGUAAACGGCGGCCGUAACUAUAACGGUCCUAAGGUAGCGAAAUUCCUUGUCGGGUAAGUUCCGACCUGCACGAAUGGCGUAAUGAUGGCCAGGCUGUCUCCACCCGAGACUCAGUGAAAUUGAACUCGCUGUGAAGAUGCAGUGUACCCGCGGCAAGACGGAAAGACCCCGUGAACCUUUACUAUAGCUUGACACUGAACAUUGAGCCUUGAUGUGUAGGAUAGGUGGGAGGCUUUGAAGCGUGGACGCCAGUCUGCGUGGAGCCAACCUUGAAAUACCACCCUUUAAUGUUUGAUGUUCUAACGUUGGCCCCUGACCGGGGUUGCGGACAGUGUCUGGUGGGUAGUUUGACUGGGGCGGUCUCCUCCCAAAGCGUAACGGAGGAGCACGAAGGUUAGCUAAUCCUGGUCGGACAUCAGGAGGUUAGUGCAAUGGCAUAAGCUAGCUUGACUGCGAGCGUGACGGCGCGAGCAGGUGCGAAAGCAGGUCAUAGUGAUCCGGUGGUUCUGAAUGGAAGGGCCAUCGCUCAACGGAUAAAAGGUACUCCGGGGAUAACAGGCUGAUACCGCCCAAGAGUUCAUAUCGACGGCGGUGUUUGGCACCUCGAUGUCGGCUCAUCACAUCCUGGGGCUGAAGUAGGUCCCAAGGGUAUGGCUGUUCGCCAUUUAAAGUGGUACGCGAGCUGGGUUUAGAACGUCGUGAGACAGUUCGGUCCCUAUCUGCCGUGGGCGCUGGAGAAUUGAGGGGGGCUGCUCCUAGUACGAGAGGACCGGAGUGGACGCAUCACUGGUGUUCGGGUUGUCAUGCCAAUGGCACUGCCCGGUAGCUAAAUGCGGAAGAGAUAAGUGCUGAAAGCAUCUAAGCACGAAACUUGCCCCGAGAUGAGUUCUCCCUGAGACUUUAAGUCUCCUGAAGGAACGUUGAAGACGACGACGUUGAUAGGCCGGGUGUGUAAGCGCAGCGAUGCGUUGAGCUAACCGGUACUAAUGAACCGUGAGGCUUAACCUUACAACGCCGAAG
rnacentral:rRNA from 1 species